AGUCUCUACGGCCCCCGCCUCAGAGUCGGCACCCGCCAUCUUGCACCCCCCCCCCCCACACAGCCGAGUCACCUUUAUCCUUCCUAGAUCCCCCGCCAUCUCCCUUCCCUCCCCUUUUCAAUCCUGUCGCGGGCCGCCGCAGCAGAAACCGCGCCAUCUCUGCCCCCACAGUCUCCACGCGGGACGCGCAGCCGUGCCACAAGUGUUCUUAGAGCAGAGAUGAAUAAUACUGCAGCUAGCCCAAUGUCUACUGCCACCUCAAGUAGUGGAAGAAGUGCAGGGAAGUCUAUAAGCUUUGCAGCUGAAUUACAGAGCAUGAUGUUUUCUUUGGGUGAUGCCAGGAGGCCUCUUCAUGAAACAGUGAUUUUGGUAGAAGAUGUGGUGCAUACUCAGUUAACUAAUCUGCUACAGCAAGCUGCUGAAGUUUCUCAGCUGCGGGGAGCAAGAGUAAUUUCUCCUGAAGAUCUUCUCUUUUUGAUGCGCAAAGAUAAGAAAAAGCUUAAAAGACUGCUAAAAUACAUGUUUAUCCGAGACUACAAAUCAAGGAUUAUUAAAAGCAUAGAUGAGGAUGAUCUUCUGGAAGACAAAUUGAGUGGCAGCAGUAACAAAAGACAAAAAAUUGCUCAAGACUUCUUCAGCUCUAUUGACCAGACAGGAGAACUGAUGGCAAUGUUUGAAAAUGAUGAAAUUGAUGAAGUUAAACAAGAGAGAAUGGAGAGAGCAGAAAGACAAACUCGAGUUAUGGACUCAGUUCAAUAUGCAGAAUUCUGUGAAAGUCGACAUUUAAGUUUCUCCAAAAAAACUUCUAAAUUUCGAGACUGGUUGGACUGCAGCAGUAUGGAGAUCAAACCAACUAUUGUCGCUAUGGAACUGUUAGCGUAUUUAGCAUAUGAAACUGUGGCACAGUUAGUGGAUUUGGCUCUGCUCGUGAGACAGGACAUGGUAACCAAGGCAGGGGACCCCUUUAGCCAUGCCAUUUCUGCAACCUUCAUUCAGUAUCACAACUCUGCUGAGAGCACUGCGGCCUGUGGUGUUGAGGCUCACGGCGAUGCCAUCCAGCCCUGCCACAUCAGAGAAGCUGUGCGACGCUACGGCCACAAGAUUGGCCCCCUCGCCCCGUUCACAAGUGCCUACCGCAGGAGUGGGAUGCCGUUUCUAGCCUGCUGAUGGAACUGUGACUGUGCCUGCAACAACAGGAAAAGCAGUGUUGUACUAAGGAAUAAUCCAAGCCAAUUUAGUACUUCCUGUUGACUUCCUUGUCAUAUGUAUCAUAGAUGGUGACAGACCUGCUCUCAAAAUAAGCUUUUGUGGUUUAAUUCUGCAUUUUCUGGUGAGGACACCAACCCAUCAGUAGUUGAACAGUAAAACAAUUUAACUACACAGAAGACUGGUCUCUAAUAUCCCCGUUUCAACUUGCCACUGAGGGGAAGUCCCAGGUUGAAAUGGUAGGGGUAGCUUUUAAAUAAGAUAUAUCAAAGUAACUUUCAGUUGAGAGUAUCAAAGC